UAUCCUGAGUACUGUUCAAGUCCAGGGACGAAACAAAAAAGACUAUUGAAGUAGUUCUAAACAUCAAAAUAGAAAGAAGUACAGAACUGUUGGAUACGUGUACUUUAUUCAUAUCUCAUAUGUUUGUUUACAUUUAUACAAAAAUACAGAAUACAGUAGAGUUUUCACCCAGAAUACCAACCGGGCAAUAAUUAUAUUUGCUUUUUUGGCACCCAGACUUAUUUCCUGCCUAGAGCCAUUUGAUCCACUCUCUCUGAACUAUAAUGGAUUGGAUCACUCAGGCCCAAAAGCACUGUUCAUAAUCCCCUCUGACCAUAAUCCAGACCCCUCACAGGAACAGUGUUUAAGGGCAGUCAUUCUCUCCACUAAUGCAUGAACAUACUCAUCUUCUAUGCAUCAGAUUAACUGACUGUUUGUGGCUCUCAAAUAGACAGGAAAAUGGGAGACCAUGUUAUUUUAUUCUUCACAGCUUAGACCUGUUGCAGCUCAUGAUACUCAUAGACUAGGUAUAAAACGCAUUUUAUUUAUUUUUUCAUUUUUUACUUUAACUUGUUUGUGGCUAGACUGUCUCUGUCAGGAUACUGGGCACUGCACAUAAUCUUCAUGUAGAAACCUAAAGGUGAUCGAAGAGAAGUCUCAGGUCUAAACUGCCGUAGAUAGUAUAUUCCAAUAUUGCUCAAAAAUGCACUUUUGAAUGAAAAGACUUGUAGAAAUGCUUACUUUACCGCACCACUAAUUUCAGGUAUUUAUGCUAAAGGUACGAUUUCUGACUACAUGAACACCAAUGUGGUUUACGUUUUCCAACACAGAUUCAGCUUUAAACAGCCAUAGCGAUUAUGGUGCACAAAAUAUGUCAUUAUUGAUUUAGUGUUGUUCAAAAAUGCAUUUUUGACUGAAUAACAUUAUCUUGCAGUUCAACACAACAAACAAUACUUUACCACACCAAGAAUUCCAGCUAUUGAUGCUGAAAGGUACUGUUGCUCUGAACUAUAUGAACACCAAUGUGGUAUACUUUUUUCAAACACAGAUUCAAUUUUGCACAAUAUACUCUCAUCUCCUAUUAGAAAAAAAUCCCAACAUGAAGUCCCAAAUACACAUGAAACAAGCAGAGAUACCUGGUGAACUGUUUCCUAAAGGUUACAAAAGCUAAAGUGUGGACAUAAAUGUCGCAACCACUGCAGUUUAAUCUGCCAGUAAAGGUUCACAUACUGAAGCACUGAAGUUUCAGAGAGCUAUUUUCCAAAUCAUGACUGGGCACAGGUCAAGCCAGCUAAACUGUUUCAACAACAAGAGAGAUCUGGCUGCGUAGGGAUUAGUAUCUGCUGGGUUUUUUUAGGUUUGGUAAGUUUGUUGUCAUUUUGGUAAUGAUUUCUCCACUUUCUGCUACCACACAAAAUCACAGACAGGCUUUACGCAUGGAACCAGUUGCGCUAAUCAAACAAGGCACAAAACCCAGAAUGGACAUGGUACAAUGUAAGACCACAAACAUGAUAGAAAUACUCACACUAGAUAUAGAAAUAAAUGUUUGUGUCCUGCCACUCUCACUGUCAGCUAUUCGCAGCAGGGCGGCCUGAUGGGAAAGGUCACAGCCAGCGUGCCUUGUUCAAGCUCCUAACUCUUCAAUGAUUGUCAAUAAUAACCAUAAAAAUGUUCCUAUUAACACUAUUUGAGCAACCUUUUUAAAUCUACUUUACUUUUUACUUAGGCAAGGCCUUUUGGAAACAAACCUGUUUAGAUACUUCCAUUUCUGAACAGGUUUUUUUUCUUUUCGCUCCAAGUCAGAUAAGAUCUGAUAUAUCUGAAACAAAGAGCACCUCCAGCUCUUAACUUAUCAGAUUUGAGGGUGCAUAACAGAAAGGAGGCUGGGACGAGGGCCUUUGCUUAACAUUUGAUGGGGCCUGAGGUUAGAUACACGAGGAGUGGAAAAAAAACUGGUUAACUAUGUCAUUUCCAUUACCUUUAUGUGGAUCUUCAUACACCGAAGAGAAACAACUAUAAAUCUUACCACAGAAAAAAAGAAAAAACAGAAAACUUUCUGAAAGUUACACCACCACGCUACAGUUCAGUACAUGGAGGAGAUGACAGUGCACUUCCAUUAACAGCGAAUUUUAAGGCAAAAUUAACAUUUAGGUUUGCAUGGCAUUACCCUGUGGCGUGUUUAAUGGACUGUGAAAAUACCUGUGAAUUUCAAAAGCAGUGGUAUCGUCCUUCAGCAUUUUAUCAGCAUUUACUUCUUAAUAAAUCCACUAACUAGCUUUAUCAGGUUGUCCAAAAGGUAUUUUCUUUAUUGAGUAGAUUUUGAUUUGCAAUCACAAGACUAACACUAAACAAAGGCAAGUCAGGAAAAAGUCAGUAAUGACAAACUCAGCCUGAUGAGUGAAGAGCCGAGGCUGAUCGCUUUUUACUUGCGAGUAUAUCUGGUUGAUAAACAGUCAGAUGAUAAUUUAAUUUAAAAAUAACUAUAUAGCAUUUGUUUAUUUAAUGGUAUUAAGUCUUUAUAUUCUCUCUUUUACUAAUUUUUAAAGUAGUUUGUUUCCUUUCAACGUACAGUGACCGUCAGUAAUCUCUCCUAUAACAGUAUCUGCCUUCCUUGCAAGCAUAGAGGUGAGAUAAGUAAAAAAUAAAGGCAAUGAUUAGCUACCAUUUACUCUGGUAGGCCCAUUGGUGUCCUAUGUGUGUCUGAUCAACCCAGUAGCCACAACAAAACACUGCCAUUGUAUGUGCUUGCAAAGUACGGAUAUGUAUAGUCAACAUUUCUGAACCAAAAAUACCUUUCCUAUCAAUAUUUCUAGAGACAUAAGGUCUUUAACCACCCAUGGGCUUGUAGUCUUGUUGGUUUAAUACAAUAAAAAGUCCACAAAGAUGAUGGAAAAUCGGCUCUGAAUUUAUUUAUUAGUAUGUAAACCAAACCACAGCCCUUUCCUAACCCUAACCAAAGUACUUUUAUUGCUUGAACUUAAAAACUCCCUUGAGUCGGGAUGCACCUCUAUUUAGGAUUUCACACUUUGUCCCCCCACUUCCUGCCAGCUGAGGUAAAAGGCAAAAAAAUCGCAGAUACUUCAACAGCCAAGGCUCCAUGUAAGUCAUCUCAAUUUGUAGCGAUGUUGACCCCAGUGAAACUCCCAAGCCAAAAAAAUGUCACGCAACAAUGUACAAUUGCUGCGCAAAGAGCUCCUGGCUUGUUUAAAUGGUUUUGAAGGGAAAUUUCUGGAAAAAAAA